rnacentral:rRNA from 1 species
AUGAACGCUAGCGGCAGGCUUAACACAUGCAAGUCGAGGGGCGAGCGGAGAGUAGCAAUACUCUGCCGGCGACCGGCGAAAGGGUGCGUAACGCGUGAGCAACUGCCCGUAUCCGGGACAUAAGCGGUGGAAACGCCGUCUAAUUUCCCAUAACAACGAGGGCCGCAUGACCCAUGUUUGAAAGAUCCGUCGGAUACGGAUGGGCUCGCGAGACAUUAGCUAGUCGGCGUGGUAACGGCACACCGAGGCGACGAUGUCUAGGGGUUCUGAGAGGAAGGUCCCCCACACUGGAACUGAGACACGGUCCAGACUCCUACGGGAGGCAGCAGUGAGGAAUAUUGGUCAAUGGGCGCAAGCCUGAACCAGCCAUGCCGCGUGAAGGAAUGAGGCCCUAUGGGUCGUAAACUUCUUUUGUGGUGGAGCAAUAAGGUGCACGUGUGCAUCGAUGAGAGUACAUCACGAAUAAGCAUCGGCUAACUCCGUGCCAGCAGCCGC